GAUGAAGAAGUAGCGAAAUGCGAUACGUAAUGUGAAUUGCAAAUUCAGUGAAUCAUCGAGUCUUUGAACGCACAUUGCGCCCCCUGGUAUUCCGGGGGGCAUGCCUGUCCGAGCGUCAUUGCUGCCCUCAAGCACGGCUUGUGUGUUGGGCCCCGUCCUCCGAUCCCGGGGGACGGGCCCGAAAGGCAGCGGCGGCACCGCGUCCGGUCCUCGAGCGUAUGGGGCUUUGUCACCCGCUCUGUAGGCCCGGCCGGCGCUUGCCGAUCAACCCAAAUUUUUUAUCCAGGUUGACCUCGGAUCAGGUAGGGAUACCCGCUGAACUUAAGCAUAUCAAUAAGCGGAGGA
rnacentral:misc_RNA from 1 species